rnacentral:rRNA from 1 species
AUUGAACGCUGGCGGCAGGCCUAACACAUGCAAGUCGAGCGGAUGAAGGGAGCUUGUUCCUGGAUUCAGCGGCGGACGGGUGAGUAAUGCCUAGGAAUCUGCCUGGUCGUGGGGGAUAACGUCCGGAAACGGGCGCUAAUACUGCAUCCGUCCAGAGGGUGAAAGUGGGGGAUCUUUGGACCUCGCGCUAUCAGAUGAGCCUAGGCCGGAUUAGCUAGUUGGUGGGGUAAAGGCCUACCAAGGCGACGAUCCGUAGCUGGUCUGAGAGGAUGAUCAGCCACACUGGAACUGAGACACGGUCCAGACUCCUACGGGAGGCAGCAGUGGGGAAUAUUGGACAAUGGGCGAAAGCCUGAUCCAGCCAUGCCGCGUGUGUGAAGAAGGUCUUCGGAUUGUAAAGCACUUUAAGUUGGGAGGAAGGGCAGUAAGUUAAUACCUUGCUGUUUUGACGUUACCAACAGAAUAAGCACCGGCUAACUUCGUG